GUGUGCCAAGCCCCCAUGGGCCGUGCCAAUGCUGCACAGUCUGCUCUGUUGGUGCCCAGAACGAGAUGGUUGUGGGAGGCAGAGCUGGCUGAGCACCUUAGCAAAUCUGCUUUCCCUGGCAGCAUCCUGUGUGCCUGGAGGUGCCCCCAGCCUGCCCUCCCAGGGAUCUGCAGAGGGAACAUGCCCUGCUGGAUGAACAAGCUGUGGAAUGCCAAGCCUCUUCUACAGCUCCUCUACAGGUGGUGGCUGGUGGAGUACCUCCUUCCAGUCAGGCAGCACAGGAGCUACAAAGAGAGCAACAAGAAUCCUGUCCUCAGCCCCACUGUGAGAGCAACAUUCCUACCCUGA
rnacentral:lncRNA from 1 species